rnacentral:lncRNA from 1 species
AGCUCAAUGGUGAGCAAGUACUUACACGCGCCUAUUUUUUUUUUUUUUUUUUUUUUAAGGUUAAAUGUUAGUAGUAUUUGUCCCAUCAAUUUAGCAAAUUUUCAAAAAUAUCCGAUAAAAUGAUACCAAUCUAUCAAAAAAAUAUUGUUUGUCUUCAUUAAAAAUUUCCAACUCCCAAAAAAUGGACAUGAAUAACCGGAAUUCCUACAUGACUUGCCUACGUGGAUUGAAAAGAAAAAAGAAAAAAGAAAAAAAAAAUGAAAAAUGAAAAAUACAUGUAUAAUUAAGGGUAAAUAUCAUAUUAAACCUUGAAUUAUACCCGCUUUAUCAAAAAUACACUGGAACUUUUGAAAUGCUUUCUAAACCCUCAAAGUAUCAUGAUUUUAUCAAAUAUAUCACGCAUCUUUUUUUUUUCCGGCCAUCAGAAAUGUGACGUGACUCGCCGGAUG